rnacentral:rRNA from 1 species
UUGGUGCAUGGCCGUUCUUAGUUGGUGGAGCGAUUUGUCUGGUUAAUUCCGAUAACGAACGAGACUCUAGCCUGCUAACUAGGCGUAUUUCCGACAUCUCAAAGGCCCGCCGGCCCGGCGUUCGCGUCGCGGUCGCGCGCGGUUUUUACUGUCGGCGUACAAACAACUCUUCUUAGAGGGACAGGCGGCUUCUAGCCGCACGAGAUUGAGCAAUAACAGGUCUGUGAUGCCCUUAGAUGGUCAU